GGUGACAUAGCCAAGCGGUAAGGCCCAGGUCUGCAAAACCUGUAUUCCCCGGUUCAAAUCCGGGUGGCACCUCCA
rnacentral:tRNA from 1 species